AUUGAACGCUGGCGGCAUGCCUUACACAUGCAAGUCGAACGGCAGCACGGGUGCUUGCACCUGGUGGCGAGUGGCGAACGGGUGAGUAAUAUAUCGGAACGUACCUUAUUGUGGGGGAUAACGCAGCGAAAGCUGUGCUAAUACCGCAUAAUCCCUAAGGGGGAAAGCGGGGGACCGUAAGGCCUCGCGCAAUUAGAGCAGCCGAUACCUGAUUAGCUAGUUGGUGAGGUAAAGGAUCACCAAGGCAACGAUCAGUAGCUGGUCUGAGAGGACAGUCUGCCACACUGGGGCUGAGACACGGCCCAGACGCCUACGGGAGGCAGCAGGGGGGAAUUUUGGACAAUGUGGGAAACCCUGAUCCAGCAAUGCCGCGUGAGUGAAGAAGGCCUUCGGGUUGUAAAGCUCUUUUGUCAGGGAAGAAACAGCAGCUCUAACACAGUAUGCGAAUGACGGUACCUGAAGAAUAAGCACCGGCUAACUACGUGCCAGCCGCCGCGGUAA
rnacentral:rRNA from 1 species